GCCAUUUUAACGGGAAGUAGCUCAGCUUGGUAGAGCACUUGGUUUGGGACCAAGGGGUCGCAGGUUCGAAUC
rnacentral:tRNA from 1 species